UGGGGAGAAGGCGGGAAAAUGGGGUUGAGAUGGAAAGAUAGAUCAGCCAUGAUUGAAUGGCUUAGUAGACUUGAUGAGACGAACGGCCUCCUUUUGCUCCAAUGACAUUUGAACACAGGUUUGAUCCUGACU